rnacentral:lncRNA from 1 species
GGAACAUGGAUGGAGCAGGAGGCCAUUAUCCUCACACUAACACAGGAGCAGGAAACCAAAUUCUGCAUGUUCUCAUUUGUAAUUGGGAGCUAAAUGAUGGGAACACGUGGACACAUAGAGAUAUUCUUCGGCAACCAUUUCUGUAGCCACCCACCUCAUGAUACAGCAGCAGACUCAAGCCCCACAGCUGGAAGAACACAUGCUGGGCCAUGACUAUAUGUGAUAAACACAGAAGAGUGUUUUGGGAAAGGAGGAAGGUAAAAGCUAAGAAACAUAGAAACAAUGGCUUGAGAUAGUUUCAAGAGAAUAGUCUCGCCAAGGGAAUAACUUGGAGAACUUUGCCAACAAUUGAUAGUCAGAAGUUAAGACUAAUCUGUGAACUUUUAGAGAUUUUGUCCUUGAGAAGAACAGAACUGAAACAUAAAAUGGACAACCAGACCAUGUUGUGUCCACCCAAAAGAUGAGAAUGAGACCUCUUUAUUCCACCUUGUAUUACCCCUUCUUCAGAAGUGCUAAGUCUAUGCAACUAUAAGGCCCCAGAUUUUUUAUGGCACCAGAUGCUGACUUUGAUGUGCCUACAUUUUAAGUAGUUUCCAUAACUCUGUAACCACAUCAGUUGACACUUGGCCCUUUUACCUGGCCAAACCAACCCUAUAAACCCAUGCUCUAUCCACGUUCCAGAUGCACUGAAAUUUUCUCUAGUUGUUUAAUUAUACCUUGUUAAUUAAUUAUACCUUGGUUUUUGUUUUGUAAUCUUUUGUAUUUCGAUAAUAGCCAUUCUAAAACUGGAGUGAGGUGAUGGGUCACUGCAGUUUUAAUUCUCAUUUCCCUGAUGAUUAAUGAUGGUGAGCAUUUUUUCAUACACCUAUUCACCACUUGUACAUUUUCUUUUGAGAAAUAUAUAUUCAUGUCUUUUCCCAUUUAAAAAUUUUGAUAAUUUGUAGAAUUUUUUUGUUAUAGAGUUACUUGAGUUCCUUAUAUAUUCUGAUUAUUUGCAACUUGUCAAAUGUAUAGUUUUCAAAUAUUUUCUCCCAUUCUGUGGGUUGUCUUUUCACUCCAUUGAUUAUGUCCUUUGCUGCAUGGAAGCUUUUUAGUUUGAUGUAAUUGUAUUUAUUUAUUUUUGCUUUCGUUGUUUAUGCUUUUUGAGGUCUUAUUCAAAAAUCCUUCCCC